rnacentral:rRNA from 1 species
UAAAAAGUAUGGUCUGCCCAGUGAGUAAUUUUAACGGCCGCAAUAUUUGUGCGAAGGUAGCAUAAUCAUUUGUCUUUUAAUUGAUGACUGGAAUGAAUGGCUGGACGGAGAAAAGCUGUCUCUUUUAUAUUUUUUAAAAAUUUACUUUCAAGUUAAAAGGCUUGAAUAAUAUAGAGGGACGAGAAGACCCUAUUGAGUUUUAUAGCUAAACUUCAAAUUUUUCUUUAAUUUUAAAUAAUAGCUAUUUAGUUGGGGUGACUUUAUAAUAAAAUCUAUAUUAGAAUUAAUAGACAUUAAGUUAUUAGGAUCCAUACUUUAUGAUAAAUAGAUCAAAUUACCUUAGGGAUAACAGCGUAAUAUUUUUUUAGAGUCCAAAUCGAUUAAAAUGCUUACGACCUCGAUGUUGGAUUAAAGAACCUAAUUUGGAGAAGAAGCUAAUUUAGGUAGUCUGUUCGACUAUUAAAUCUUUAC